rnacentral:rRNA from 1 species
GACGUAGGGCGCGAGCGUUGUCCGGAUUUAUUGGGCGUAAAGAGCUCGUAGGCGGCCUUCUAAGUCGAACGUGAAAUCCCCGGGCUCAACCCGGGAACUGCGUCCGAUACUGGGAGGCUUGAAUCCGGGAGAGGGAUGUGGAAUUCCAGGUGUAGCGGUGAAAUGCGUAGAUAUCCGGAGGAACACCGGUGGCGAAGGCGGCUUCCUGGACCGACACUGACGCUGAGGCGCGAAAGCUAGGGGAGCAAACGGG